rnacentral:rRNA from 1 species
AUUGAACGUUGGCGGCGUGGAUUAGGCAUGCAAGUCGUGCGAUAUUCCCUCGCAAGAGGGAUGAAAGCGGCGAAAGGGAGAGUAAUCCGUGGAUUACCUACCCUCAGGACCGGGAUAGCCGCGGGAAACUGCGGGUAAUACCGGAUAACAUCUCCGGAUCAAAGGUGCGAUUCCGCCUGAGGAGGGGUCCGCGUCCUAUUAGCUUGUUGGCAGGGUAAUGGCCUACCAAGGCAAUGAUGGGUACGGGGUGUGAGAGCAUGACCCCGCUCACUGGGACUGAGACACUGCCCAGACACCUACGGGUGGCUGCAGUCGAGGAUCUUCGGCAAUGGGCGCAAGCCUGACCGAGCGACGCCGCGUGCGGGAUGAAGGCCUUCGGGUUGUAAACCGCUGUCAGUGGGGAGGAGAUCCUGGAAGGUUCUCCUUCUAGGUUGACCUAUCCGCAGAGGAAGUACGGGCUAAGUUCGUGCCAGCCGCCGCUGUAAGAC